GAACCUGUGAAUAUUUUAUAUCCACACACCAAUAUUUUACUAUAAGGAUGAUUCGUGAUGAACUCCGUGAUCUCAGUUGAAUUUGUUCAGGUUGAAUCUCUCAAGCGGUCUCUCUUCUGCAGGUGUGUUUGGUUAUAUGGAUGAAGUGAAGUCAGUGUCAGUGAUGGAGGGAGAUUCUGUCACUUUAUACACUGAUCUUACUGAAAUACAGAAAGCUGAGCUGAUACUGUGGACAUUUGGAUCUGACAGCACUCGUAUAGCUCAAAUAAACAGAUUGAUUAAUAAGAUCUCAUAUUAUGAUGGUCCUGAUGAAAGAUUCAGAGACAGACUGAAGCUGGACAGUCAGACUGGAUCUCUGACCAUCACAAACUCCUCAGAGGAACAUGCUGGAUUAUAUGGAUUUUUGCAGAUCAUUGGUGGAAAAGAAGUCCUGCCCAAGAAAUUCAGCAUUAUUGUUUCUUCUAGUGAGUAGUUUUUGCAAUGUAUUUUGUUUGAUUAUGUAUCCAUUAUAGACUUAUUCUCUCAUGUUUUCAGCUCAUCUGUCUGUUCCUGUCAUCAUCAGUAACUCUUCAAAAUGUUCUACAUCAUCAUCAUCAUCAUAUUGUUCAUUGGUGUGUUCAGUGUGAACGGCCUCUUACUGAUUCAGUUUGGUUAGUGAUACAUAUUUCUCUUUCCAUUACAACAUCAGAUUCGUCCACACAUUAUAUAGAGCUGGUUUACUUUUUUGCUCUGGCUGUGGUUGCAGUUUUCUGUUGUAUUUUCUAUUACUAUCACCAAAGGACAUCUAAACAAGAGGCUAAUCAAGGCCAACCUGAUGGAGAAGAACACAUCUGGCUGACUAAUGCAGGUGCAGAAACGCCUGAUCAGGAGAAACAUUCAAAAAACAUGAUCACUUAUGACAAAGGAACACUUUUGAACAUUGGACACCGAUUGGACUUUAUCUUGCAACCCAACAUGGCCAUCUGAGAUUCUCUGGAACGUCUAGAUGAACAAUGGCUACCUGAAUAACCACCUCCACGUCAACAGUCAUGAAGGUCUUUGAGAAACUCAUAAAGAACAGCAUCUGCUCCUCCAUUCCUGAUAAUUUGGACCCUCUUCAGUUUGCCUAUCACCCCAAUAGAUCCACUGAAGAUGCCAUCUCUCACGUCCUGCAGUCUUCUCUCACGCACAUUGACAGCAGCAAUGGGAACUAUGUAAGAGUGCUAUUUUCGAUUAUAGCUCAGCUUUCAGUACUAUAGUCCCCAUCAAGCUAGCUUUUAAACUCAUGGACCUUGGCCUGAAUUCUUCAUUAUGCAACUGGAUUCUUGAUUUCCUCACCACCAGACCUCAAGUGGUGAAACUAGGCCAGUACACCUCCAGCUCCAUCAGCCUGAAUGGAGGAGCCCCACAGGGCUGUGUCCUGAGACCUCUUCUCUACUCUCUCUACAACAUGACUUUGUGUCUUCGCACAGCUCCACAUCUAUAAUCAAAUUUGCUGAUGAUACUAUGGUUCUGGGCCUCCAUUCCAACAAUAAUGAGAACGCAUACUUGAAUGAGGUAGAGAAACUCACAUCAUGGUGCCAGGAAAAUUGUCUCUAUAUGAAUGUGAGUAAAACUGAAGAGCUGAUUGUGGACUUCAGGAAGAGACAACAGCAGCCUUAAGCCCCUUUCAUACUGCAUGUUGGACCCAAAAAAUCAGUUAUUUUAUCGCGAAAGAUGAAAUUAAGUUGAUGAAAACAAUGAGAGGACAGUCUGUCACGCUACACAGCGAUCUCACUGAAAUCCAGGACGAUGAGCUGGUCUGGUGGAAAUUUGCUGAUUCCAGUGGAAACAAAGAGGCUGUGUUUACAGUCAUAGCUAAAUGGGAUAAAACAAAUAACGAGGAAAACCUAUGCAAUGAAGAAAGAUUCAGAGACAGAUUGCAUCUGGACCACAACACUGGAUCUCUGACCAUCACAAACAUCACAAAUGAACUCUGUGGACAUUAUAAACUACACAUCACCAGUGACAGACUGAAGAACUCCACGACAUUCAGUGUUGCUUUUUAUAACCCGAAGAGAAGACCCGAGAGUCAGAGGAUUGGCCUUGAUGAUGACCGAAGAGUACACACAAUGGAAAACAAUGGAACAUAGUUGUAUUUUUUUUCUUUCUUUCUUUUUUUUACAGCCAUCUAAACUCCCAAAUUAACAUUAAAUGUUUGGAUAUUCAGGUUUUUUACACUGCAUGUAUGUUACAUUUUGUAGAGUUAAUUUUAAUGAUUUGUAUUUUUAUGCAUUUUAGCAAAACUUUUAUCCAAAGCUACUAAAAAAAAAAAAAAAUUACCUAAUGUGUUCUCUGGGAAUCGAUUCCACAACCUUUUGUGCUGUUAAAGCAAUGCUUUACCACUGAGCCAGAGGAUCACUUUGUUUAUUAAUGAACAUAACAGUGUUCAUAACAUGUCUGAACGUUUUCUGCUCUCUAGUUGAUAAUCUAAAGGUUGCGUUGUUUCACACAGUUGUAAAUGAGCUUUCUUCUACUGUCUAUGGUCAGAAUGCACACUCUGAAAGGGCGGCGCAACGAAGGCUGGCGAAUUUCGAAAGCGACUUCAAAUGCACCCUUCAUUUCCCAUGAAAAUAAAGUGUACAUCUGAUGGACACUUCGCACCCUACCAUAUCCCAGAAUCACUUGUGCGCAUAUGACCACAGUGGAAGGUGAGAGUUGUGUGGAGAGGGCUUCACAUUAAAAUGUGUAUUGUGUUUUCAUUUACUUCAAUGACUAGUGAAAGUUUAUUUUAGUUUUUUACAUAAAGCCCACAAACAAUAAGACAGAGACUAUAUAAAACAAUAGUCUUUCCCUCUGUUUUUUUUUUUUAAAGUGAUGUCAUGCAAGAGAUGUCUACAAAUGUUUAAACCAAACUUUAGCACUUGAGUAUCUUGUACG